rnacentral:lncRNA from 1 species
UAUGGGGGACUUUUGGGAUAGCACAGGGAAUAUGAAUGAAGAAAACAAUUUUUAAAAAUUAAAAAAAAAAAGAUUUAACAGAGCUGAGCAUCUGCUGUUUUAGCUUCUGGAUCUAGACAGCUGUGCAAUGGCUGGUCAUUUGCUUAGGUCUAGGGACAAAGAAAUAAACGACAAGGCUGGCCUUAUAAAACAAGCUCCUAAUGAAAGAGUGCACUGCAUGCUGCAGAACCAGCAACUCCUCAGGCCACGUUUUGCCAGGCAAAGGAGCAUCUUACUCCAGGCAGGUCUCCUGCCUCUCUGCCUGGCAGGGAGUCUUCUUUUGCUUACUCAGCCUUAGAUCCUGGUUUGUCUCUUCAGUCUGAUUCUAGGCUCCCGACUUCCGUUUUUCCAGACACUUAUUUAGUUCAGUCGGUUCAUAACAAUUUACUGCUAUUUCUCAGACUCCCACCCCUAUAUCAAACUGGUAUCAUGAAGGAUAGUAGCUGAAUGCUUUCACAUACCCUGGGUGAUUUUUAUAAUAAUGUGGUAGAAUUCCGUUGCCCAUCCCUGGCUUCUAAGGGUCCUUCCCAAGAGACGCUUCGGUGGAACUGUAAAGAGCAUCUGUGGAUACGCCAAGUUCCCACAAAACCUCUCAGACCAUGGAUGGGCAACGGAAGCCAUUAACAGCUAAACCCUUUUGACAGGGGCUCUGCUCUUCCACGGGCAUUUUCUUCCUUCUCACUCUCAUCAUCAGAGGCCGUGCUCUUUGUUUGCUCCUGUUCCCAAAGUUGCUAGGCCCAGUAGGAAGGGGUCUUUCUAAAUGACAGCUUUAGAUGCCACUGGAGAAGUGAAUGCCACCUGCUUUCGAGCCGAGUCCCUGCUGAGGGAUGAGGUAGCCUUCACAGAGGAGGCCAUGUUUGACCAAGUCUAUGAGCAUGUGUAGGAGGCCCACUUGGAAAAUGGUGAGGCUGUUUUCAUCAGCCUUGGGAAAACAAGGGAAGUAUGCAGAAUCUCCACUGAGCAGGAAGACGUUUGAUGUAACUAGAACUCAAAGCUGAAGGAGAGAAACUGGGAAGAGAGGCUGUGAACACCAGAGUGGAGUGACUGUGGUCUGUCCCAUUUAAGGAAAAAUAAUGAAGGUUAUUUGUUUGGGCUGCAGAGUCAUCCGAUCUUUUGUAUUUGGAGAUAGAUAACUUUCUUGUUGUCGAGAAGAUGGAGAUGAGCCAGGCUCAAGGAUGUAAUGAAGGUGUCCUGCCGGCAUUUAUACCAGUGAAGCCCAAGGGUGAUGCAAGUCGGGGCACUUAGCUGUCAGCUCUAGGAGGGCAGGGAGCGAGCAUAAGGCUCUCUGCUUCUUCUGUCCGCCUGCCUGCUUAUCCAGCGUAACAAGCCCACUUGUUGCUCCCACUGCUAGUGGAUACAUAGAAUUAUCAGGAUGUAAGUCGAUAAAAAAUUAAAUGCCCUUCAUCAUCUGCAGAGCAGCCGAAAACAACGCCCUUUUGAGGCAAAAUAAGUUUCUUCAGGGCAUGCACUUGGCAAGAGCAGGAAAAGUCAGGGUGCCUUUGUCUUACACUGGGGGAGGAGGAUUAGGUUUCACACAUGAUUUCUUUUUAAACUUACAGCUGUUAAAGUUGUGAACAGUAUUGAAAGUCCUGCAUCUAAUACCUUAUUUUAAACUAGAACAAAAAAAAUCAUAUUGCAACCUGGUCCUAUCUUAGGAGAGCUAUGAUUUAAGCUAAGCCCGUGUGCCUGGUAUUUCAGUUUCUGAAGCUGAAUGUGUAAGACUUGCCAGUCAAAAGGAAGCCAGGGGAGGCAGGAGUCGUACGUAAGGAAAGUGGCCGAUCUCUUCUAAGUCACAUGCAAAUAGGAUAUGGUAUAUCCUGGUAUACUGUCUGUGUAUAGACACAUAUUAAAAACACUCUGUGAUGCUGACACAAUGUUUAUCAAUUUUAAAUGUGUACAUUAUGAUUUAGGUAACUCAUACAAAAAUCCCUGAAUCAAUAUUUAAAAACAAAACAAAACAAACAAACAAACAAACAAACCAAAAACCCCUCACAGUCGAUUCUUUGAGAUUUUUAUUUCAAAAAGCCUCCUUUCAGAUUUAAAUGAAAUAGACAACGUUGUUUUUAUUGCUUGAAAGCACAGCGGUGCCCUUGAGAAGCGUUCAAUUACAGCGACUGUUGUCUAAUUAGGUGAAAACAACCAUCUAAGAAAGUCUAUCAUUUGCUGUAAAAGCAAGAUGUUUAUAAUCCAAGCAUCUUUCCAGAUGCUGGAGAAUUGCUGGAAAGCUGGGAGAUUAGCUUUCCACCCUGAUAGGGGUUUGAAAGAGGUCAGGAUGUGUUUUACCGUAGCGUCUAGCAAUGUGAGUUUAUUCAGACUGCUUGGCAGACAUUCCUGCACAGUCAGGCCGAAUCAAUGAAUCAACUAUUGUGGGCCAGUCCAGCUCUCAGUCGCUAAGACAUUGUUCAAGCGCACUAAGGUUUUAGUCUAUGUGGCCUAGAGAAAGGGCAAAAUGUAUUAAACCUUAAAGGGUCUCAUCUUUCUUAAAUUAGUAAUUAAAACUUUGCCCAGAGAUUUCAUUGGGAGCAGUGGAAAGUCUACCCACAGCAGGAGGAUUUUGCUUGGGAAAAAAAGUACAAGAAAAUGGCUUGCCUGUAACACCUCAGGGCAGGGGAAAAACGCACGUGUGUAGAGGAAAAUGGGAGUAUCUAAGACGUAGACUCAGCCACAGAAACGCUGAGCAGGGCUCUAAACCCUUAAAGGAAUACAGUGUAUUUACACUUAAGUUUCAAAUGAAGAUUUGCCUUCAUUUUUAUUAAACGCGGUUUAAUGAGUCUCUGUUCAUCUAUAGGCUUUCUUGGAAAUUUAGCCUAUUAUUUUCAGUUUGGCAGGGGUGAAGAAAAAAUAUUAUUAUAAGAAAGUUUUCCAACUGGUUCUUUAUGAAUAUUUGUACCUUCUUUUCCAGUGGCAAUGCAGUGGUUGGAUGCUUAAUAGAAAUGGCUAAGAGUAGAGAAACCCUGUCUCGGGAAAAA